rnacentral:rRNA from 1 species
UAUCGGAUUGAUACUAAGCCAUGCGAGUCAUUGUAGCAAUACAAGGCAUACGGCUCAGUAACGCGUAGUCAACCUAACCUAUGGACGGGAAUAACCUCGGGAAACUGAGAAUAAUGCCCGAUAGAACAUUAUGCCUGGAAUGGUUUAUGUUCCAAAUGAUUUAUCGCCGUAGGAUGGGACUGCGGCCUAUCAGUUUGUUGGUGAGGUAAUGGCCCACCAAGACUAUUACAGGUACGGGCUCUGAGAGGAGUAGCCCGGAGAUGGGUACUGAGACACGGACCCAGGCCCUAUGGGGCGCAGCAGGCGAGAAAACUUUGCAAUGUGCGAAAGCACGACAAGGUUAAUCCGAGUGGUUUCUGCUAAAGGAACCUUUUGUCAGUCCUAGAAACACUGAUGAAUAAGGGGUGGGCAAGUUCUGGUGUCAGCCGCCGCGGUAAAACCAGCACCUCAAGUGGUCAGGAUGAUUAUUGGGCCUAAAGCAUCCGUAGCCGGCUCUGUAAGUUUUCGGUUAAAUCUGUACGCUCAACGUACAGGCUGCCGGGAAUACUGCAAAGCUAGGGAGUGGGAGAGGUAGACGGUACUCGGUAGGAAGGGGUAAAAUCCUUUGAUCUAUUGAUGACCACCUGUGGGCGAAGGCGGUCUACCAGAACACGUCCGACGGUGAGGGAUGAAAGCUGGGGGAGCAAACCGGAUUAGAAUACCCGGGUAGUCCCAGCUGUAAACCAUGCAAACUCAGUGAUGCAUUGGCUUGKGGCCAAUGCAGUGCUGCAGGGAAGCCGUUAAGUUUGCCGCCUGGGAAGUACGUACGCAAGUAUGAAACUUAAAGGAAUUGGCGGGGGAGCACCACAAGGGGUGAAGCCUGCGGUUCAAUUGGAGUC